CCUGGGGAGUACGGCCGCAAGGUUAAAACUCAAAUGAAUUGACGGGGGCCCGCACAAGCGGUGGAGCAUGUGGUUUAAUUCGAUGCAACGCGAAGAACCUUACCUACUCUUGACAUCCAGAGAACUUAGCAGAGAUGCUUUGGUGCCUUCGGGAACUCUGAGACAGGUGCUGCAUGGCUGUCGUCAGCUCGUGUUGUGAAAUGUUGGGUUAAGUCCCGCAACGAGCGCAACCCUUAUCCUUUGUUGCCAGCGGUUCGGCCGGGAAC
rnacentral:rRNA from 2 species